rnacentral:rRNA from 1 species
AUUGAACGCUGGCGGCAAGCCUAACACAUGCAAGUCGAACGAGUGGCGGACGGGUGAGUAAUGUCUGGGAAACUGCCUGAUGGCGGGGGAUAACUACUGGAAACGGUAGCUAAUACCGCAUACCAUCGGAUGUGCCCAGAUGGGAUUAGCUAGUAGGUGGGGUAAAGGCUCACCUAGGCGACGAUCCAUAGCUGGUCUGAGAGGAUGACAAUCAACACUGGAACUGAGAAGCGGUCCAGACCCCUACGUGAGGCAGUAGUGGGGAAUAGAGCACAAUGGGCGCAAGCCUGAUGCAGCCAUGCCGCGUGUAUGAAGAAGGCCUUCGGGUUGGAAAGUCCUUUCUGUGGGGAGGCGUUACCCGCAGAAGAAGCACCGGCUAACUCCGUGCCAGCAGCCGCGGUAAUAC